rnacentral:rRNA from 1 species
UACGAAGGGUGCAAGCGUUACUCGGAAUUACUGGGCGUAAAGCGUGCGUAGGUGGUGAGUUAAGUCUGAUGUGAAAUCCCCGGGCUCAACCUGGGAAUGGCAUUGGAUACUGGCUCGCUAGAGUACGGUAGAGGGUGGUGGAAUUCCCGGUGUAGCAGUGAAAUGCGUAGAGAUCGGGAGGAACAUCCGUGGCGAAGGCGGCCACCUGGACCAGUACUGACACUGAGGCACGAAAGCGUGGGGAGCAAACAGG